UAGGGAAUCUUCCACAAUGGACGCAAGUCUGAUGGAGCAACGCCGCGUGAGUGAAGAAGGUUUUCGGAUCGUAAAGCUCUGUUGUUGGUGAAGAAGGAUAGAGGUAGUAACUGGCCUUUAUGUGACGGUAAUCAACCAGAAAGUCACGGCUAACUACGUGCCAGCAGCCGCGGUAAUACGUAGGUGGCAAGCGUUGUCCGGAUUUAUUGGGCGUAAAGCGAGCGCAGGCGGAAGAAUAAGUCUGAUGUGAAAGCCCUCGGCUUAACCGAGGAACUGCAUCGGAAACUGUUUUUCUUGAGUGCAGAAGAGGAGAGUGGAAUUCCAUGUGUAGCGGUGGAAUGCGUAGAUAUAUGGAAGAACACCAGUGGCGAAGGCGACUCUCUGGUCUGCAACUGACGCUGAGGCUCGAAAGCAUGGGUAGCGAACAGG
rnacentral:rRNA from 2 species